rnacentral:rRNA from 1 species
CAGUUAUAGUUUACUUGAUAAUCUUUACUUACAUGGAUAACCGUGGUAAUUCUAGAGCUAAUACAUGCGAAAAAACUCGACUUUAUGGAAGGGUUGUAUUUAUUAGAUAAAGAACCAAUAUAAUUGGUGACUCAUAAUAACUUUACGGAUCACAUUAAAUGUGACAUAUCAUUCAAGUUUCUGACCUAUCAGCUUUAGACGGUAGGGU